rnacentral:rRNA from 1 species
AGCUCCAAUAGCGUAUAUUAAAGUUGUUGCAGUUAAAAAGCUCGUAGUUGGAUUUCUUUUGCGUGGGCGGGGCUCGGGAUAGCCCUUGGACUCGUUCCUUGGGCGUCCUUCCCCUCGCGCGAAAUUCUUGCGCGUUGCUCGCAAGGGCGGCGCGCAUCGUUUACUGUGAAAAAAUCAAAGCGUUCAAAGCAGGCUUUAUGCAAUUGAAUGUCUCAGCAUGGAAUAAUAAUUUAAGCCAUUGACUUAAUUUGUUGGUUUAUUGGUCGGAGGAAUGUUUAAUAGGAUCAGUCGGGGAUAUCCGAACUUGGAAGUCAGAGGUGAAAUUCUUGGAUUUUCCAAAGUCGAACUACUGCGAAAGCAUUUAUCAAGGAUGUUUUCA